GACGAACGCUGGCGGCGUGCUUAACACAUGCAAGUCGAACGGAAAGGCCCUGCUUUUGUGGGGUGCUCGAGUGGCGAACGGGUGAGUAACACGUGAGUAACCUGCCCUUGACUUUGGGAUAACUUCAGGAAACUGGGGCUAAUCCCGGAUAGGAGCUCCUGCUGCAUGGUGGGGGUUGGAAAGUUUCGGCGGUUGGGGAUGGACUCGCGGCCUAUCAGCUUGUUGGUGGGGUAGUGGCUUACCAAGGCUUUGGCGGGUAGCCGGCCUGAGAGGGUGACCGGCCACAUUGGGACUGAGAGACGGCCCAGACUCCUACGGGAGGCAGCAGGGGGGAAUAUUGCACAAUGGGCGGAAGCCUGAUGCAGCAACGCCGCGUGCGGGAUGACGGCCUUCGGGUUGUGAACCGCUUUCGCCUGUGACGAAGCGUGAGUGACGGUAAUGGGUAAAGAAGCACCGGCUAACUACGUG
rnacentral:rRNA from 1 species